GUGCCUUUGUUUAAAAAAGUUUUAAAGUCGAGGAAUAAAGUAAAGUGCCCUGUUUGUGGAAAAUUUAUAUUCAACUUAAAACGACACUUAAUAACCAAACACAAAUGGGAUGAAGUUAAGGCAAAAUCUGCUCGCCUUAAUUUUGGGCUUAACGCAAAAAGGAAAGUUUUAACCACUACCAAAAGAAAAGCAAAGAGCAAAAUUUAUAAAAGAAAAAUUUGUCCUAUGCUCCAUUGCACAAAAGAGUUACUUAGACUCGGAAAUCAUCUGAGACAGUUCCACAAAUUGUCUAAUUUUGAGACAAAAAAAUAUAUAUCUAAAAGUGUAAGUGUUCUUGAAAAUUUUGAAAGUGAAUCUGAUGAGAAAUCAAACUCCUCAAGUGACUUUAGCGAUAACCCAAGUCUUGAGUGUCAUUUUGAUAAAGAAAUUUUUGUUCAAGGUGAAAAUUUUUUAGAAGUAAAUUCAAGCAGUGAUGAAGACUGGUUAGCUUCAGAAUAUGUUCAAUCUAGAUUUUU